AUUGAACGCUGGCGGCAGGCCUAACACAUGCAAGUCGAGCGGAUGAGUGGAGCUUGCUCCAUGAUUCAGCGGCGGACGGGUGAGUAAUGCCUAGGAAUCUGCCUGGUAGUGGGGGACAACGUUUCGAAAGGAACGCUAAUACCGCAUACGUCCUACGGGAGAAAGCAGGGGACCUUCGGGCCUUGCGCUAUCAGAUGAGCCUAGGUCGGAUUAGCUAGUAGGUGAGGUAAUGGCUCACCUAGGCGACGAUCCGUAACUGGUCUGAGAGGAUGAUCAGUCACACUGGAACUGAGACACGGUCCAGACUCCUACGGGAGGCAGCAGUGGGGAAUAUUGGACAAUGGGCGAAAGCCUGAUCCGGCCAUGCCGCGUGUGUGAAGAAGGUCUUCGGAUUGUAAAGCACUUUAAGUUGGGAGGAAGGGCAGUAAGUUAAUACCUUGCUGUUUUGACGUUACCAACAGAAUAAGCACCGGCUAACUUCGUGCCAGCCGCCGCGGUAA
rnacentral:rRNA from 1 species